CAGCGUUUGACAUGUCCGGACGAUUUCCAGAGAUGGAUCUCUUCCCUUCGGGGACUGGAACACAGGUGCUGCAUGGCUGUCGUCAGCUCGUGUCGUGAGAUGUUGGGUUAAGUCCCGCAACGAGCGCAACCCUCGCCUUUAGUUACCAUCAUUUAGUUGGGUACUCUAAAGGAACCGCCGGUGAUAAGCCGGAGGAAGGUGGGGAUGACGUCAAGUCCUCAUGGCCCUUACGCGCUGGGCUACACACGUGCUACAAUGGCGACUACAGUGGGCUGCAAACUCGCGAGGGUGAGCUAAUCUCCAAAAGUCGUCUCAGUUCGGAUUGUACUCUGCAACUCUAGUACAUGAAGGCGGAAUCGCUAGUAAUCGUGGAUCAACAUGCCACGGUGAAUA
rnacentral:rRNA from 1 species